GAACGGAACCUUCGGGUUUAGUGGCGGACGGGUGAGUAACGCGUGAGAAUCUGCCUCUAGGUCGGGGACAACAACUGGAAACGGUUGCUAAUACCCGAUGUGCAGCAAUGUGAAAGAUUUAUUGCCUAGAGAUGAGCUCGCGUCUGAUUAGCUAGUAGGUGUGGUAAUGGCGCACCUAGGCGACGAUCAGUAACUGGUCUGAGAGGAUGACCAGUCACACUGGGACUGAGACACGGCCCAGACUCCUACGGGAGGCAGCAGUGGGGAAUUUUCCGCAAUGGGCGAAAGCCUGACGGAGCAAUACCGCGUGAGGGACGAAGGCUCUUGGGUCGUAAACCUCUUUUCCCUGAGAAGAAGAUCUGACGGUAUCAGGGGAAUCAGCAUCGGCUAACUUCGUGCCAGCAGCCGCGGUAAUACGAGGGAUGCAAGCGUUAUCCGGAAUUAUUGGGCGUAAAGCGUCCGCAGGUGGCUCUGUAAGUCUGUCGUUAAAGAAUGGGGCUCAACCCCAUACAGGCGAUGGAAACUACAAGGCUAGAGUUUGGUAGGGGCCACGGGAAUUCUUAGUGUAGCGGUGAAAUGCGUAGAUAUUAAGAAGAACACCAGCGGCGAAAGCGCGUGACCGGGCCAGUACUGACACUCAUGGACGGAAGCUAGGGGAGCGAAAGGGAUUAGAUACCCCUGUAGUCCUAGCCGUAAACGAUGAUAACUAGGUGUUGCCCGUAUCGACCCGAGCCGUGCCGAA
rnacentral:rRNA from 1 species